UAUUUUGACUAUACAAAGGUAUUGUAAUAAGACUUUAAUUGGGUGCUAAGAGAAUGGAUUUUCAAAAAAAUUCUUUUUUAAAUUUAAAAAUUAAAGUUAUUUUUAUUUGUGAAGAAACAAUAAUACGAAUUAAAGACAAGAAGACCCUAUGAAUUUUGAUUGAUUUAAUAUUAAAGUUAAUAUUUAAUUCAAUUUGAUUGGGGCGAUUAAAAAAUAUUAAAAACUUUUUAUUUUCAAAAAGACCCAUUAAUAAUGAUUAUAUGAAAUAAAUACUCUAGGGAUAACAGCGUAAUAAUUUUAGAUAGCUCUUAUAGAAAAAAUAGUUUGCGACCUCGAUGUUGGAUUAGGAUACUUAUUUAAUGAAGAAGUUAAAAUAAGAAGUUUGUUCAACUUUUAAAAUCC
rnacentral:rRNA from 1 species